UGCGGUUUCUUUAGUAGAGAUUGAGCCGCUGUGUCUACACGCCUACGAAAUAGGUGGGGUAGUCCUCGGGUUGUCUGCAUGAAUGUGACUAGCUGUGUAAGAAGUCACUGAGCUGCCUGGUGCAUUCCAGUGUGGGGAAUGCUGUGGGCUGUGAGUAUGAAGUGGAACAGUGCUUCCAGGUGUGUCUGCAUAUGCAGCAAUUCUAGUCACAGCAGCCUUGAGGAACCCUCAAAGUACUGUAAACGUACCUUGGUGGGGCUUAAAACAUCAGUACAGAACUGUGAUGAAGUCCCGGAAAGUGAAUGCUCUGGAGUGAAUGAGUUUAAUUUUACCACUUGUAAUAGUUUUAUUGAAGUUUAUCUUUGGAAUACCUGAAAGAACACUCAAGUGUAAGGAAAUGAAGGGAUAGAUUCAAUAACUAAAUCCUAUUACAAAUUUCCUAGCACAAAAUGUCAACAGUGAUUCUUAGAAAACUGUUUAAAAGGUUUCUUCCUAAUUAACUGGUGAACUGGCUGUAGAAAUACUUUUACAUAUAGUUAUAAAUCUGACACAAAAGUUGAAGGAAAUGUACAACAGCAGUAUUUUGACCUGAAGAUACUUGUGAUCAAAGGUCUUGGACAUGA